AAUAGAUACCCGGGUAGUCCACGCCGUAAACGAUGAGUGCUAAGUGUUAGGGGGUUUCCGCCCCUUAGUGCUGCAGCUAACGCAUUAAGCACUCCGCCUGGGGAGUACGGUCGCAAGACUGAAACUCAAAGGAAUUGACGGGGGCCCGCAUAAGCGGUGGAGCAUGUGGUUUAAUUCGAAGCGACGCGAAGAACCUUACCAGGUCUUGACAUCCUCUGACAACCCUAGAGAUAGGGCUUUCCCUUCGGGGACAGAGUGACAGGUGGUGCAUGGUUGUCGUCAGCUCGUGUCGUGAGAUGUUGGGUUAAGUCCCGCAACGAGCGCAACCCUUGAUCUUAGUUGCCAGCAUUCAGUUGGGCACUCUAAGGUGACUGCCGGUGACAAACCGGAGGAAGGUGGGGAUGACGUCAAAUCAUCAUGCCCCUUAUGACCUGGGCUACACACGCGCUACAAUGGACAGAACAAAGGGCUGCAAGACCGCAAGGUUUAGCCAAUCCCAUAAAAUCUGUUCUCAGUUCGGAUCGCAGU
rnacentral:rRNA from 1 species